GUCUCUUGGAUUUUGUGUUGUCUAUAAAUGUGCACACCUUUACCAUUGGUAAGUAGAAUCAUCUUUGCAGAAAUUUUUGCACUUUUUUUUGUGUUUCAACCACAGUGUGGAAUUCUUGUCCAAAACUGUCAGCAGACCAGGACUGGAUACACAGAUGAUCGUUAGGCACCUUUUCUAACUUCUUCCUCACACCAGAAGAGUCCUCACAUCCCAGUGGUAGGACAGAGACAAGAUGACUGGUUAUAGCUCAAGACACAGUGGGUGACUUUGGUGUCUUUGAUGUCUAACCAAGCUUGAAGUUCUCGACAAUGCCUGCUGCAGCUGCCCUUGCGGAACACAUUGUUCUCAUCUGCCCAUUCUUCUAGGAGAAGUCUUACACCCCCUAACUCAUCAAGAGAGGGUUCAGAAGCACACCAUUAAUAAUUGCAGAGUUCUUGAAGAACCAGUCUACUUUAACUGGCCAUAACAUGGAAUUUAAGUAUAUUUCAAAAUAUUAGCUAUAUUUGUUGAGUAAAUGACCUCUGUUCUUACCUUUAAAACUAAGGGAGGUGAACAUUUUAUAUUUUUCUCUUGCAAUUCUCUCUCUCUCUCUAAUGCCUUUCCAAACACAAGAUGAUAGAAUUAAUUUGAUUUUUACUUGUGGAUAGCCUUUGAUUUGCCUCUUCUCAAAGACCUUGGUAGAAAAAAAUCCUCAUCUUUACCUUCAGAAGUCCCUAUAUAUCUUAUUUCCAUAAAUCUUUCUUAUUUGCGGUUGGUUUUUCUCCCAGCUGUCAGCAAUACAGAUCAUACUGUCUCUAUCAUCCUGCCCCUUCCAGGAUUCCAUUGCCCUCUACUGGCUACUGUAAUCUUUUCAGGUCUGGGGGGGGGGCGGGUCUUUCAGCCUUGAAUUAAUUCCAUAAAUUCCAGCUCUGUUAGUCCUUUGACUCCCAUUUCUACAUUCAACCAUCCAUUCAUCUAUCCAUCUUUCUCCUAGUCACCCAACCAUUUACUUAUGUAGCUAUCCAACUUCUUAAUCUGUCAGUCUGCUUGUUAGCUUGUCCAUCCAUCCAUCCAUCCAUCCACCCAUCCAUCCAUCCAUCGAUCUAUCUCCUCAUAUAUAUCUAUCUUCUUAUCAAAGGGAUGUGUGUGUGUGUGUGUGUGUGUGUGUGUGUGUGUAAAUGGGAAGUGAGAACCAUUCAAAAGCCAGUGAUUUAAAGACUUCCUCCUCUUUGUACUGUGCCAAAAUGUGGCAGAAUGAAGUAGCUGGGUUUUAUUUAGUGAGGAAUUGGAAGAAAUAAGUGGUUCCUGUGAUACAUGAGAUAAGAACUAAGUCCAAAAUACAAAGAAACAUAUCCUCACUGUAUCAAUGACAAGGGGAAAACAAAAUGCCUAGUCUAAGGACAGGUAAGAGAUUGUAAUAGUAAUUUUUAUUAUUUUAGCUGAUAUUUAUCUAGGAUUUAAUGAUUUACCAAGUCUUUACAUAUAUUCUCUUCUCAGCCUCAGCUUCCUUAUUUUUAAUAUGAGUACAAAACUAGCAUUUCUGGUACAAUAUUUAAUAAUAGGUGUGAUAUUGUAUCCUGAUCUUAAUUAGGAAGAUUUCUGGUUUAUCCCAAUUUAAAAAAAUGCAUGCUUUUGGUUUUA